rnacentral:rRNA from 1 species
AUGUUCCCUACAAUUGUCAAAGUGCUAGAAUAUGUGGAAGAAGAAGACAUGGAUGAUACAAAUAGAAGGCAAGCAUGUGGUCUUCUUGUUUAUUCCCAGUCUUUUGAUUUUGUGUUCUACUUACAGCUUAUGCCCACUAUAUUGAUAAUCACAAACACAUUAUCAUUGGCUCUACAAUGGAAGAAUCAAGACAUCGUGAAUGCCAUUAAUUGUGUGAAUUCAACCAAAGCCUCUUCGAAUGAUCUAAGGAGAGAUGGAUGGGAUUCUGUCCUACAUGAAGCAUAUGUCUUUUGUGACAAGCAUGACAUUUCCAAGUUGGAAAUGGAAGACCAAUAUGUGAAUCCAAAGAAGCCAUGGCAAAAAACAGGUAUCACUAAUAGGAAUCAUUAUGAAGUGGAUUGUUUUAAUGAUGUCAUUGAUUGGCUUCUUCAAGAACUUAAUAAUUGCUUCAAUGAGAAAAAUUCUGAACUACUUGUCUGCUCAGUGGCUUUGAGUCCAAUUGAAUCAUUUCGUGAUUUCAAUUUAUAG